GGAUAACUUCGGGAAACCGAAGCUAAUACCGGAUAGGAUCUUCUCCUUCAUGGGAGAUGAUUGAAAGAUGGUUUCGGCUAUCACUUACAGAUGGGCCCGCGGUGCAUUAGCUAGUUGGUGAGGUAACGGCUCACCAAGGCAACGAUGCAUAGCCGACCUGAGAGGGUGAUCGGCCACACUGGGACUGAGACACGGCCCAGACUCCUACGGGAGGCAGCAGUAGGGAAUCUUCCGCAAUGGACGAAAGUCUGACGGAGCAACGCCGCGUGAGUGAUGAAGGCUUUCGGGUCGUAAAACUCUGUUGUUAGGGAAGAACAAGUACAAGAGUAACUGCUUGUACCUUGACGGUACCUAACCAGAAAGCCACGGCUAACUA
rnacentral:rRNA from 2 species